rnacentral:rRNA from 1 species
UACGGGGGGAGCAAGCGUUGUCCGGAUUCAUUGGGCGUAAAGAGCGUGUAGGCGGCCAGGUAGGUCGGUUGUGAAAACUGGAGGCUCAACCUUCAGACGUCGACCGAAACCAUCUGGCUAGAGUCCGGGAGAGGAGAGUGGAAUUCCUGGUGUAGCGGUGAAAUGCGCAGAUAUCAGGAAGAACACCCGUGGCGAAAGCGGCUCUCUGGAACGGUACUGACGCUGAGACGCGAAAGCGUGGGGAGCGAACAGG